rnacentral:rRNA from 1 species
UACAGAGGGUGCAAGCGUUGCUCGGAAUCAUUGGGCGUAAAGCGCACGUAGGCGGUUCGUUAUGUCGGAUGUGAAAGCCCUUGGCUUAACCGAGGAAGUGCAUCCGAAACUGGCGAGCUAGAGUACUAAAGAGGAUCGCGGAAUUCCCGGUGUAGAGGUGAAAUUCGUAGAUAUCGGGAGGAACACCGGUGGCGAAGGCGGCGAUCUGGGUAGAUACUGACGCUGAGGUGCGAAAGCGUGGGGAGCGAACAGG